AUUGAACGCUGGCGGCACGCCUUACACAUGCAAGUCGAACGGUAACGCGGGGCAACCUGGCGACGAGUGGCGAACGGGUGAGUAAUGCAUCGGAACGUGCCCAGUAGUGGGGGAUAGCCCGGCGAAAGCCGGAUUAAUACCGCAUACGACCUACGGGUGAAAGGGGGGGAUCGCAAGACCUCUCGCUAUUGGAGCGGCCGAUGUCAGAUUAGGUAGUUGGUGGGGUAAAGGCCUACCAAGCCGACGAUCUGUAGCUGGUCUGAGAGGACGGCCAGCCACACUGGGACUGAGACACGGCCCAGACUCCUACGGGAGGCAGCAGUGGGGAAUUUUGGACAAUGGGCGCAAGCCUGAUCCAGCCAUGCCGCGUGCGGGAAGAAGGCCUUCGGGUUGUAAACCGCUUUUGUCAGGGAAGAAAUCUUCUGGGUUAAUACCUCGGGAGGAUGACGGUACCUGAAGAAUAAGCACCGGCUAACUACGUGCCAGCCGCCGCAGUAAGAC
rnacentral:rRNA from 1 species